CCAAGGAGAGCUUUGUGCGGGGCCACACUCUGAUGGUGAAGACUUACUCGCUGUUAUUUUCAUUUUUUAUUGUUAUUGUCUACUAAUAAAGCAAAGCCAUUACAAAUGGUGAUAAGUUAAAACUUUAUUAAAAGGAAAUUCUCUGAGUAAUUUAUUUAUUAACACAUUAUUAACAUUUAGUAACAAAUUAUUCUGGAACUGAAUAUUCCUUUCGAGCCUCAAGAAGUCUGAACUCAGCUGAACAGUUUUGGGUGCGAUUUCAGAGAUUCCUGCAUCUAUACAUCACCUCCAGAAGACAAAAUUCAUAAAAGCACAAGACUGACUGCAGUUGAACCAGUGUCCAGUGAGGAGCAUCUCAGUCCCAUCAAGAUCAUUUAGAACAUCUACAGAAGAACAAGAAGAAAUGAACUUUCAAAUACCAACACCAGCACUAACAGCGACUGGGUUCUCCGUUCAGCCUGCUGUAACGAUGUAUCAGCCUGCUGUACCAGUGUUUCAACCUGCUGUAACGGUUGUUCAGCCAACUGUACCAUUGGUUCAGUCCACUGUGGUCAUGAGUCAAAUGCCAGUUGCUAUUGUACCAGAUUACAUGUGCUACUCCAUCUUUAACAUGCUGUGCUGCUGUUUACCUCUGGGCAUCGUUGCUAUCAUCUUCUCAUGCAAUGCUCGAGAUGCUAACUUUUCUGGACAGCGAGACUUAGCGAUGAGCCACUCCAGAGUGGCAUUUAUCCUGAACAAUGUGUCUGUCGGUAUCGGCCUCGCUAUCAUGACAAUGAUCCUUAUCAUUUGUUUGAAAUAUGCUUGAACAACAUCUUUGAACAGAUGUUUUAUUCUGCUUCAAAUGCAUCUACUCAUUCUGUCAAUGAUAAUGUCAACUCAAGUCAAUGAUUUUGCAGAAGAAAUGAAAAAUAUUUUCCAGACCCUCUGAGGGAAUUAUCUAAUCAACAUUUAUGUUUCAUUUAUUUUUGUAUUUAAUGCUGGCAGAGUGAUCUGUUUGAUUAGCAGAAGGGAAAUGCUUUACUGCUUUUAACUUAAUCCUUAAUCCUAAUAAUUUUUUUUUUGUAAAUUACACAUUAAAAUACAGUGAGCCCAUGAGUCCAUAGCAUGAAGUGUGUCCAAACACUUCACACUAUGCAAUUUUCUAAAAUCCAGAUACAGUAUGCUUAGGUAUCUCAAGGUAUCUUACUCUUAAAUUCAUCUUUGAGAAUUUGAUGUCUUGUAUUGAUUUGAUAUCUCUGAAUUUGCUAUGUAAUUGGCAUAAUACAUAUUUACCUGACUGUUAAUAAAUUGCUAUAUUUGAUUUAUUCUGAUUUACUCUGAAAUUAUUUUCUCAAGUAGAUUAUGUGAAGGUGUAUGUUACUUCAAAUCUGCAUUCAGGGUUAGAUGGAGCAUGGGGCACAUCAGGUGAGAUUCUAGAUUCCUGACUAACUGUUUGACUUUGUUACGAGGAGUCAGAGGCAUUCAGAUCCAUGUGCAGAACUUUAUUCAGAGAAUGGUCAGACAUGCAGAAAUCAGGAAUUGCGUCAGGUAUGUUAGGGGUAACCAGAAUCGAAAACAGAACCAAGCAGAGAUCAGGGCAGGCAGCAGAAAAUCAGAAUCGAAAUACACAAUCCAAGAUCAGACAAGGGAAGAACAAACACAAGAAGAAACCGCUCAGAAAUGUUAGACGGGCUUAACAAGACUUUGCAGUGACUGAGAGUGAUUGUGCUGCUUAAUUAUAUGUCUAUGUAUUAGCUGCAGGUGUGUGUGUCUAAUAGGCUGAUGAAUGAGGUGCAGGUGUGGCAAGUUGAUUGUCAUACAGUGAUUCAUGGAGAAUGUAGUUCGGGUGUGGUUCAACAGAAUGAAAGGUGCUAACAGGGGUGCUGCACAAGAUCCCAUGCCCUAUGCAUAGGCAGCCCCCCAUCCCCCACCUCCCCCCGAAAAUAUAUAUUCCAGACUUUUCAAGGGCCCUCUCUUCCUUUGGGGCCCUGGUAAUCAGUACUGGUUUUACCCCCAGUCCAAUGCCCCUGGGUGCUAGUGUCCAAGUUAUUAAAUGGUGACAUAUGGUGGUUGAUGGAAAGUCCUGAGUGGAGUGCCCUAUAUACA